CAGUCGAGAAUCUUCGGCAAUGGGCGAAAGCCUGACCGAGCGAUGCCGCGUGCGGGAUGAAGGCCCUCGGGUUGUAAACCGCUGUCGUAGAGGAGAAAGGUCUCGUGAAGAGCGAGAUUUGAUCUAUUCUAGGAGGAAGUCGGGGCUAAGUUCGUGCCAGCAGCCGCGGUAACACGAACCCGACAAACGUUAUUCGGAAUUAUUGGGCUUAAAGGGUGCGUAGGCGGUGCGGUAAGUGAGGUGUGAAAGCCCUCGGCUCAACCGAGGAAUUGCGCUUCAUACUGCCGUGCUAGAGGGAGACAGGGGUAAGCGGAACUGAUGGUGGAGCGGUGAAAUGCGUUGAUAUCAUCAGGAACACCGGUGGCGAAAGCGGCUUACUGGGUCUUCUCUGACGCUGAGGCACGAAAGCUAGGGUAGCGAACGGGAUUAGAUACCCCGGUAGUCCUAGCCGUAAACGAUGAGCACUUGAUUGAGGGCCCCCCAUAGGCUCUCGAUCGCAG
rnacentral:rRNA from 1 species